rfam:Loxodonta africana unplaced genomic scaffold scaffold_30, whole genome shotgun sequence.
GUAUUGGUGGUUCAGUGGUAGAAUUCUCACCUUUCAUGCAGGAGACUCAGGUUCAAUCCCUGGCCAAUGCA